rnacentral:rRNA from 1 species
AGAAGAGCUUGCUCUUCGAUUCAGCGGCGGACGGGUGAGUAAUGCCUAGGAAUCUGCCUGGUAGUGGGGGACAACGUUUCGAAAGGAACGCUAAUACCGCAUACGUCCUACGGGAGAAAGCAGGGGACCUUCGGGCCUUGCGCUAUCAGAUGAGCCUAGGUCGGAUUAGCUAGUUGGUGGGGUAAUGGCUCACCAAGGCGACGAUCCGUAACUGGUCUGAGAGGAUGAUCAGUCACACUGGAACUGAGACACGGUCCAGACUCCUACGGGAGGCAGCAGUGGGGAAUAUUGGACAAUGGGCGAAAGCCUGAUCCAGCCAUGCCGCGUGUGUGAAGAAGGUCUUCGGAUUGUAAAGCACUUUAAGUUGGGAGGAAGGGCAGUAAGCGAAUACCUUGCUGUUUUGACGUUACCGACAGAAUAAGCACCGGCUAACUCUGUGCCAGCAGCCGCGGUAAUACAGAGGGUGCAAGCGUUAAUCGGAAUUACUGGGCGUAAAGCGCGCGUAGGUGGUUUGUUAAGUUGGAUGUGAAAGCCCCGGGCUCAACCUGGGAACUGCAUCCAAAACUGGCAAGCUAGAGUACAGUAGAGGGUGGUGGAAUUUCCUGUGUAGCGGUGAAAUGCGUAGAUAUAGGAAGGAACACCAGUGGCGAACGCGACCACCUGGACUGAUACUGACACUGAGGUGCGAAAGCGUGGG